AUGUGGUACCUUUGCGUCUUCUACCACAGGCUCCUCGACUACCGGCGGCCGGAAGUGCAGUCGCUCGCCGAGCUCUUCGGCGGCCCCGGCGCCGGGGCCGCUGUAGAGUGGCGUAUGCCCGAGAAUCACCACGAAGACUCCCCCUUCCACCUCGUUCGCCUCCCCGGCGGCGAGCGCGUUGCCGCGCAGACCGCCAACCGCAGCCUGCUCGUGAAGGGGAUCUAUGAGCUGUGGGGGCAGGGUGCCACCUACGACGAACUGGAGGAGGCGAUACGGGCGUACCCCGACGAAAGGAAGCUGCCGUACCUGACGCCGGAAAGCUCGUUCAAGAUUGUCGUCGACAGCUUCGGCAAGGCGGUCAGCUUCGAAGAACAGAAUGCGAUUAUAAAGAGGUUCACUUACAUUCCAUUCGAGGGCCGUGUUAAUUUGAAGAAGCCCGAUCACAAGUUCUUUGUCUUGGAGACCGAUGAUUAUGGGCCACAAAAUGGCCUGCCACCAGUUGCUCAGAAGACGGUAUUCUUUGGCCGGCUGGUUGGAGCAGCAGAUAGGCAUGUAGUGCCGACAUAUGAGUUGAAGAGCAGGAAGUACAUUGGUCCGACUGCGAUGGACUGUGAAAUGGCGUUUCUCAUGGCCAACCAAGGGCUCGCACGGCCUGGGAAACUUGUGUAUGACCCUUUUGUUGGCACCGGGAGCAUUUUAGUGGCUGCUGCACAUUUUGGAGCCAUGACUAUGGGUGCAGAUAUUGAUAUAAGAGUUGUGCGGGAUGGACGUGGCCCUCAUUGCAAUAUUUGGAGCAACUUUGAGCAGUACAAGUUGCCAGAGCCUUUGUGUGUGCUACGAGCUGAUAACAACCUACCACCUUGGCGUCCAGGAUUGAAGGAGAUAUUUGAUGCAAUCAUCUGCGACCCCCCAUAUGGUGUCCGAGCUGGUGGGCGAAAGUCGGGCGGUCGGAAGCUCCUAAAAGGCAUCAUCCCUCCGUACAUAGUUCCGGACGACAAGAGAGAGAACCAUAUUCCAUCAACCGCUCCAUACAGUCUCGCAGAAUGUGUUCACGACCUCCUCCUCCUUGCUGCGAGAAUGCUGGUGAUUGGUGGCAGGCUGGUCUUCUUCUACCCGGUCUUGCGGGAUGAUGAUGUUGCCGACGUAGCAAAAUUCCCGGAGCACCCCUGCUUCAAGCUGGUCUCCUCCUGCGAGCAGAUCCUAAGCCUGCGGUACAGCCGGGUUCUGCUGACGAUGGUGAAGGUCGAGCCCUACACAGACGAGGUCGAGAGGAUCGGCGAGGAGCGGCACCAGGAGUUCAGGGAGAACCACCAGAAAUGGAUGGAGGAGGGCAACCUGCACUCCGCCGUGUUCAGCCCGGCGGAGCAUGAUGGGAGGCCCAAAUUUGAUAAAGAUUCCAAGCCGAAGUACAGGGGAAAGUACGUGUAG
rnacentral:rRNA from 1 species